GUGGGGAAUAUUGGACAAUGGGCGAAAGCCUGAUCCAGCCAUGCCGCGUGUGUGAAGAAGGUCUUCGGAUUGUAAAGCACUUUAAGUUGGGAGGAAGGGUAGUAACCUAAUACGUUGCUACUUUGACGUUACCGACAGAAUAAGCACCGGCUAACUUCGUGCCAGCAGCCGCGGUAAUACGAAGGGUGUAAGCGUUAAUCGGAAUUACUGGGCGUAAAGUGCGCGUAGGUGGUUCAGUAAGUUGGAAGUGAAAUCCCCGGGCUCAACCUGGGAACUGCUUUCAAAACUGCUGAGCUAGAGUACGGUAGAGGGUGGUGGAAUUUCCUGUGUAGCGGUGAAAUGCGUAGAUAUAGGAAGGAACACCAGUGGCGAAGGCGACCACCUGGACUGAUACUGACGCUGAGGCGCGAAAGCGUGGGGAGCAAACAGGAUUAGAAACCCUUGUAGUCC
rnacentral:rRNA from 1 species